rnacentral:lncRNA from 1 species
CGCCAACAGGAACGGAAACUGUACAGCCAGUCAGCUUCCUGAGCUUCUUCCGGCGUUCUGUGUGCUGCCCUGGAAACCGUAUGGACGAAUCCAAACCUGGAGGGGCUCCACCUCCGUAAGGCUGGUCGGCGCUUCCGCGCGUUCCGCUUUGCUUCACUGCUUUCUCCCCUAUUCUUGGGAAUGUGGACCUGUCCUGAGGCAGAGGCCGAGAUGCGCGCAACCGCGGGAGCAGCCAAGAGGACUCGAGUCUUUCUUGACUUACCUACCAGAGCGGACCGCGUCUUCACCGCCCUGCAGCGCUUCCUAGGCUCCCAGCCGGCCUCGCGAUCUGAUGCCUGUGGACGUAGGGAGGCCGCGAAAGCCGCCGAUUCGCCCGCCGCGAGCUGCCUGGGGAGUGGGAUGCGAGUGACUACGUAGCGGCCCUGAGUCUGUAAUUAUUUAGUCUGUAAAGUGCAGCGAGGAGGAGCACCUAUGUAGUGCUUAGCAUGGCGCUCGCCAUCGGUUACAUCUCAGGCGAAGGUUGAUUUGGCCGGCAGUUCACAGACUUGAGCGCAUCCCAGUCACCCCAGAGCGUGUAGUAACACAGAAGGCCAGGCCCUACCGCCGGAUUGUAUGAUUCUGUAAAUCUGGGGCAGGGCCGGUAACUUUUUCAUUUCUAUUAAGUCCCAGGUGAUGCUCAUGCUUCUGGUGCGGGAGUCAUGAUUGUGCUGAAGGUGGGCACCUGUGCGCUCUUAUCACCUGGUCGCUCUCAGCGUUCCUUGAAUGUAGGACCUGCCCCCUGACUCUUAAAUGCCUCAUUUGCACCGUGUGAUAUUUGCUCUGCCUUCUGGCUUCUUAGAUGCUUCUUAGGAGAACUUGUGAAUUAAGAGAGACUUCCCUAGGAGCACUAUAGGUUAAGAGACUAAACUGUGGUUUCUCAGAAAGCAUACUCGAGUGAGAAAAUCAUGAAGAAACGUAAGGAAGUGAUGGCUACGAAAGUCAGGGAGUGCUUACUUGUGGGGAUCAGGAGGGUUGAUGACUGAGAUAGGCUCACGGAGGGGCUUCUUAUGUGGCUGGCAAAAUCCUAUUUCCUGACCCUGGGUAGUGAUUAGAAGUGUGUCCCUCUUUAGUAAUUCAUUAAACUAUAUUUUGU